rnacentral:rRNA from 1 species
CACGAAAAGUGUGACAGGGCUAUCCCGAGUGCCAUCCGCUGAGGAAGGCUUUUUACCCCAGUAUAGAUCGCUGGGGGAAUAAGGAGAGGGCAAGUCUGGUGUCAGCCGCCGCGGUAAUACCAGCUCUGGGAGUGGUGUGCCCCCCUCAUUGGGCCUAAAGCAUCCGUAGCUGGCUAAGUUAGUCCCUUGUUAAAUCCACAGAAUUAAUCGUUGGAUUGCGGGGGAUACUGCUUGGCUAGGGGACGAGAGAGGCAGACGGUAUUUCCGGGGUAGGGGUGAAAUCCUAUAAUCCCGGGAAGACCACCAGUGGCGAAGGCUGUCUGCUAGAACGCGCCCGACGGUGAGGGAUGAAAGCUGGGGGAGCGAACCGGACCCCCCUACCCGGGUAGUCCCAGCUGUAAACGAUGCAGUUUUAGGAGUAUUUGUUCGGCCACGUGCCGUUCUAGUGCCGCAGGGAAGCUGUUAA